rfam:Ornithorhynchus anatinus chromosome X1, whole genome shotgun sequence.
UCCCUCUCAGGGUCGCACCUGGAGAGUUUCCAGUACUCUACCAGUCUCGACUAUGGGAGGCAAAGUCAAACAGAGGCAUAUCCAUUCCAUUCCUAGCUUGGGCAGUAGCUAAGUGAAUAGAAGACAAUCUGCUACAGGU